UAAAUUGACUGUUGUAUUAUCAGAAGCCAAGGUAUGACACAACUUUGGGAGCAACACUGGCUAUCAGGUAAGUAAUUUUCUUAUUGAAUGGAUGGAUUUAACAAUUGCUGCUAUUAUAGACCAGCUAAAAAUAAUAUCUUCUCUCAUUAUUAAAUACAACAAGAGAUGCAACAGGCGUUCUCUAUUCAUACACAGGAUAUGCAGCUAAUACUUGCUAUUCACAUCAUCUUAAGGUCUACCUACCUUCUUAGGUCUUCUUGUUUUGAAGAUUUUUGGAUAUUUGUAUCACAAAGAGGAAAAGCAGCUUGCUCUUCAUCGACAUGCCAGCUUCAGCCAUAAUAUUUUUGCCCCUGCUUUUUAACAUUAUUACAUCAAUUACCAUCACACCAUUUUGUAAAUACAACAAACUCUUUAGGUAUUUUCAAAAUUCACUUUUGACCUUUCACUGCUACUUUAGCUCUAAAAGUGACAGGUUUUACAUCUUGGACUGACUCAUUAUAUUUACAAAGCAACACGUAGAUUACUUUUGACAGCUGCAAAGUAAUUCUGUAUAUUACAUAAAAUUAUACACCUACGUAUACUCUCCUCUCCAGAACUUAGUUUUUGGAUUACCUUAGCUUUUUCUCGAUGAACUUCGAACUUAAGUUGUCGUGUCUGCUCCGCUGAACGAUCUUCUUUUGCUAUUUUGUUUGGUUUUCCUGUUGGGUUUCUCUGAAGAACACAACGUUUGCUAAUCAGGGGUUAUAGCGACUGCUGCUUGAGAAGUUCUUUUUCGAAUUUUCUACUUAUUUGAAGGAGUAUCAUGGCUUUUGUUCUCAUUUUCGUGGGGCUAAAUUAUAUCAUAGCUACUGCUUGGAAGAUGAUAUAGGUCAUCUUAGAAAAAUCUUGGUUUUUUUUAUCUUUGGAUACCAGAGUUCAUUCAUUCAGUUGGAUGCCUUUGAAAAGAAAAUUGUUAGUUUGACCAACAUGGGCAUAAGUUGUGGCUUCAAGUGCUGAACCUCUUCUGCUUUUCUUGGAGUAAGAGUGACAAUGUGAUGGUUCUACGUAAUGUUCUUUUAGAUUUUUCUUUUCAAGUUCUAUAAGCAAUUAUUAUGUGCUCCAGUCAUUAUUGCAUUUUCACAUUUUAAGUAUCUGCGAAGAACCAAAUACAUUUUUUUGAUAGAACUCUUUCCUAUAUGUGCAUAUCAAAAUCUGUAAGCAAAUCCUAAUGUCUUCAUUUAUUUUAAGAAUGGCUAUGAACAAUCAAGUGAUGAUCUUCAAAUGCUUUGAUUUGGGAGAGGGUGGAUCAAUAGAGGGUUGAUAUUAGUUUGUUGUUAGACUAAGUUUACUGGUGUAUCAAAAUGAGCUGUAGUAAUUUCUCAUGUAUAUUUGUUUUCAUAAUCCGAUAAUGGUUUGUGCAGA